UAACAAUUCUUUUUUACAAAAUAUCUGGACUUUUAACACAUAAUUUAACACUUAUGUCGCCACUGCGUCAUUACUUGAAGUCGUCAGUUGAUUGGACGGAUGCCUUCACGUGACGCUGAAAUGACGACACCACUAGUAUAAAACACCGCGAGCGGCCAUCGUUCUUUCUCUACUCUACUGCAGCGCUGAGGAAACGUGUUCGAUGGUUUCAUGAUAAUUGUGACCCCUGGAAGUUUCUACUGAAGUAAAGCUGGCUUCUGAAGUUCUGGGAAUGGUGGUUUUGCUUCCACAAGCGUUGGUGUAGGUGCUCAAUAAAUUGUAUCUGGUUCUAUUGUAUGUUAAACCUGUUGCAACUUGUUCAAAUUGAUAGUUUGGUUUAUUUAUUUACCCUGUAUUGGCAUACAGCCCUAUUUUUGCCAUGUUAAUAUUUGCUAUAAGCUGGACCAAGAACCUUAUGCGUUUCUGUAUUUUGAGUACAAGUUCCAAUAAACGGUGUCUUUUAA